UACGGGGGGGGGGUAAGCGUUGUUCGGAAUUACUGGGCGUAAAGGGCUCGUAGGCGGCCAACUAAGUCAGACGUGAAAUCCCUCAGCUUAACUGGGGAACUGCGUCUGAUACUGGAUGGCUUGGAUUUGGGAGAGGGAUGCGGAAUUCCAGGUGUAGCGGUGAAAUGCGUAGAUAUCUGGAGGAACACCGGUGGCGAAGGCGGCAUCCUGGACCAAUAUUGACGCUGAGGAGCGAAAGCCAGGGGAGCAAACGGG
rnacentral:rRNA from 1 species